rfam:Dictyocaulus viviparus strain HannoverDv2000 D_viviparus-1.0_Cont486.6, whole genome shotgun sequence.
GCCUCGGUGGUGCAAUGGAAAGCACAACAGACCGGAUAUCUGUAAGUGCGGGUACGAGUCCCGCCUGAGGUU